rnacentral:misc_RNA from 1 species
GAUCCGCUCCUGUCCGGACAGCGCGAUGAACCGCUUGCCCUUGGUCCGGCCGAUCAGUGUCAGCCCCACCUGCCGCGCCAGUUCCACGCCCCACGCUGUGAAACCGGAGCGUGACACCAGAAUGGGAAUGCCCAUUCGCACGGUCUUGAUCACCAUCUCGGAGGUAAGGCGCCCGGUGGUGUACAUGAUCUUGUCGGCAGCAUCGACCUUGUGCCGCCAGGCCCAGCCCGCGAUCUUGUCGACCGCGUUAUGCCGUCCGACAUCUUCCAUGUAGCAGAUCGGUUCGCCUUCCUUGCACAGCACGCAG